CACGUAGGGCGCAAGCGUUGUCCGGAUUUAUUGGGCGUAAAGAGCGUGUAGGCGGCCAGGUAGGUCUGCUGUGAAAACUCGAGGCUCAACCUCGAGACGUCGGCGGAAACCAUCUGGCUAGAGUCCGGAAGAGGAGAGUGGAAUUCCUGGUGUAGCGGUGAAAUGCGCAGAUAUCAGGAAGAACACCCGUGGCGAAGGCGGCUCUCUGGGACGGUACUGACGCUGAGACGCGAAAGCGUGGGGAGCGAACAGG
rnacentral:rRNA from 1 species